AGAGUUUGAUCCUGGCUCAGAAUCAACGCUGGCGGCGUGCCUCAGACAUGCAAGUCGAACGAUUAAAGCUCUCUUCGGAGAGUGCAUAGAGUGGCGCACGGGUGAGUAACACGUAAGUAAUCUACCCUCGAGUGGGGAAUAACGUUCGGAAACGGACGCUAAUACCGCAUAAUGCAGCGGCACCGCAAGGUGACAGUUGUUAAAGAUUUAUCGCUUGAGGAGGAGCUUGCGGCAGAUUAGCUAGUUGGUAAGGUAAUGGCUUACCAAGGCUACGAUCUGUAACCGGUCUUAGAGGACGGUCGGUCACACUGACACUGAAUAACGGGUCAGACUCCUACGGGAGGCAGCAGUCGGGAAUUUUGGGCAAUGGGCGAAAGCCUGACCCAGCAACGCCGCGUGAAGGAUGAAGUAUUUCGGUAUGUAAACUUCGAAAGAAUAGGAAGAAUCAAUGACGGUACUAUUUAUAAGGUCCGGCUAACUACGUGCCAGCAGCCGCGGUAAUACGUAGGGACCAAGCGUUGUUCGGAUUUACUGGGCGUAAAGGGCGCGUAGGCGGCGCGGUAAGUCACUUGUGAAAUCUCUGAGCUUAACUCAGAACGGCCAAGUGAUACUGCAGUGCUAGAGUGUGGAAGGGGCAAUCGGAAUUCUUGGUGUAGCGGUGAAAUGCGUAGAUAUCAAGAGGAACACCUGAGGUGAAGACGGGUUGCUGGGCCAACACUGACGCUGAGGCGCGAAAGC
rnacentral:rRNA from 1 species